UUAAUAUGCUUUAACAGUGUUUGUGAAGGUCUGUAGGUUCACGUCUGCAAACCAGGAACAUCAUUGAACUUAGCAGAAGGAAUGAGUAACUCCAGAGCGGUGGGGGGGGAAACGAAAAUCUCUACACAUACCUCCUUGAAAGCUGUAAUGCUCACUGCAAAGAUCUGCGAAUGAAGCCUGUGAGACAAACCCACUAACUCUGGACACACUGCCAGGCUACAUUUUACGUUUUUGGAAGUGACCAGGUGUUACUCUGUUCCCGGAGUUGGUCUUGAAGUCAUGGCUCUCAAGUAAUCUUCCUGCCUUGGCCUCUCAAAAGUGCUGGAAUUAGAGAUCACCAUCAAAAGCUACAAACUGGAAACAGUAGAGGAAGAUACUAGCCCUGUGUUUCUGAUUCAGUAUCACUGAAAUACUUUGGAACCAUAUAAAGGGCAAAGUACAUUCCACAUGUUGAAGGACAGUGCCUGGCCCUGUGGGGUGUCAUCCCCAAGUUGUAGGCAUAGUGGCAACCCAGGGGUUCAUCUCACCUCCCAUCAGAGUUCAAACAUUGAAUUAGUUGCGCAAUGGAAGGAGUAUUACCAGGACCCAGAUGCAGCCCAAGGAAAAAAGAAAACGAGACACACACAGACACCAGAGCAUGAUGCAAGUAGUGGCUUAAUUGGUGCGUGCACAUUGGGCUUGUUCUUUUCAAACCUGUUCCCCCGAUUCUGCAAGGCUAUCCUGCUGUAAAAGGAGGCCCUGGGGGACAAGACACCAUGUGGGGAGAACAGUCAUGUGGAGCAGAACCGAGGUAUCCCAGCUUAGCUCCCAACUGACAGCAGCCACAUGAGUGAGCAGAAAAACAACUUCCAAGUCUGAUUUAGCUACUGCUGCCGUGGAAUGUCAAAACUUUCAGCAAGGGAGCCCGAUGCAGAUCUGUUGAUAUGACAUCAUUCCACAGGAAGACCAACUGGUAGCUUUGUGGCAAGUUGACUACACUGGGCUGCUUCUAUUCUGGGAAGACAGAGAUUUGUUCUAACAGGAAUAGGCAUGUAUUGCAGGCAUAGGUUGACCUUUCCUGCCAUGGAGCCUCCUCUGGUACCACUAUUUGAAGGUUGAAGGAAUGUUGAUUCACCAGGAUUGAGUCAGACCAGCCAAGCCUAUGACCGUGAUGUCAACUGACUGUAUCACCUGUCACAUCAUCCAGAAGCUACAGACUUAUAAGGCAUUGGAAUAACUUGUAGAUGGCCCCGUUAAAGUACCAGCUUAGAGGCAACACUCUAUGAGAAUGAGACAUCAUCUCCAGGAUGGCACAUACACACAUUGAAUCACACAGCAUUGAUAAGGAGAUGGCUCCCCAGUAGGAAGAAUAUAUUGGUCAUGAACCAAGGGAUGAAGCAGAAGUGUCUUGCUUCCUGUCCCUGCAGCCUCUUUCUGCAGUGCUAGAAAUCCUGGUCAAAAGUGGGCAUAAUUUUAUCAGGGGACACAGCAAAAGUCUCCACUACAUUGCAGCUAUGCCUGCUGCCUGGGGAUUUUGGGCUUCUUAUAAUUGGGACCAGCAAUAAAAGAGAAGAGCCACAGUCUUGGCAGGGCUAAUUGACCCUGAUCAGCGGAAGAAGAAAGGCUGUGGUUCCACUAUGAGGGCAGGGAAGACGUGUGGCACCACUGAUCCACUUUUGCAACCCAUGGUACUCCCGUGGCCAGUUGUGAUGAUAGAUAGACAAGUGCAGGAACACUUUUGGGAAGGGCAUGGUGGCCAGAGUUCAGACCCCAUGGGAAUAAGGAUCAGGGUCACACCACUGGAUAAGCCAAGAGGAAGAGAGGCCCACUGGAAGGCUGGAGGAGCUGCUCCCCAGAUGUAGAUGAAGAAGUAGAUUUGAGCAGCACAGUGGUGGACCUAGUAGAGGUGGACAUCAAGAUCCUCUUCAAGGAAAGAUUUAUCAAUAUAGUUUUCCCUGACCCAGGUGCCAUGUGUUUUCUGUCAUAUUCACGUAUGCUAAUACAUAAUCGUGCAAGUGGGGUAAUAUCUGGGACACUUCAUGGUUCAUAUCAAAACACAGAGUGAAGGGAACGUCCUCUGGGCCAUCUCAGGGUGUGAGUUUGGGGCGGGGGUGGCUCCUGGUUAACGUUUCUGUCCACUGCAGCAUUCCUUUUCCCUUUUGCUUUUAGAUUCUUCCCUUGGCAUCACACCAGGAAAGUUUGAUAUCUUAACUUUAUUGGAUAUAGGCAACCAUUGAAUCCAAGUUUUGCCCACUGAAUCCAUCAAAUUGUUACAGCCAAUUCUAGAUGCUUGAGCGGACACAUGAAAUCCAGAACUCCCAAAGGCCAUGGAAAGACGCAGAAGACACAAGGGGAAGGACAUGGUGCGAAGACAGAGGCAGAGAGAUUGGAGUAUUGCAGCUACAGGCCAAGCAACGCCAGUGAUUGCUGGCAACCACAGAAGCUAGGAGAGAGGCGAGGAAGGAUUCUUCCCCGGACCCUUCAGAGGGAGCACGGCCCUGCUAACAAGUUGAUUUCUGACUUCUGGUCUCCAGAACUGUGAGCGAAUACAUUUCUAUUGUUUUAAAUGACACUAUCUCCGAUCAUUGGUUACGGCAGCCCCUAGGAAGCUAAUACAUGGCCCUAUGAAGCUGGGGCUCAGACCUCUGAGAAGGGCACACGGCUGCUGCUGAUCUGUUUAGGGGAAGCAAUGACGCUAGCGCUGAGGGGAAACAAGAGGCUGGAACCAGCUGCUGCUGAAGGAGAAGCGCUAUUGCGGGGCAGCGCUCAAACCAGAAAAAGGCAGUCCUGCCCUCCUCCUACUGCCUUCAAAUCUCCGCCAGAAUAGAACCCAAGCCAGCCGGCAAGACAGAAAUGCAGCUGUGGAGCUCCCAGGUGCAAUGUCGCAGAGCAAAGGGAAUGUGCGCUGGGGGCCGAGAAGCAGCAGUAAGAUGUGGUGCGAGGUGCCUUUGUGUUUGUGGGGAUGAGGAGUUGGGUUGUGGGAUGUGGAAGAAGAGUUUGCUUGCGAGAUACUAGUUUAAAAAGAAAAGAGUUUGCUGGACUACUGAGCAGGGCUGAUUCGACUCCACAAAUAUUCUGCCUCCGAGGCUGGAGAAAAGCGGGCUCAGGAACCCUUUUCAGGAGAAAAGUUGAUGCCGCAAAACGAUCUAAGAACAAAGGUGCAAAAAAAUUUAAAUGUGUACUUCUGAAAGACAAGUAAUAGUUGGAAGAACACCACUACAUUUAAACAUUCAUAACAGAA